rnacentral:misc_RNA from 1 species
GAAAUGCGAUAAGUAAUGUGAAUUACAGAAUUCAGUGAAUCAUCGAAUCUUUGAACGCACCUUGCGCUCCUUGGUAUUCCUUGGAGCAUGCCUGUUUGAGUAUCAUGAAAUCUUCAAAGUAAAUCUUUUGUUAACUCAAUUGGUUUCUACUUUGGUAUUGGAGGUCUUUGCAGCUUCACACCUGCUCCUCUUUGUUCAUUAGCUGGAUCUCAGUGUUAUGCUUGGUUCCACUCGGCGUGAUAAGUUAUCUAUCGCUGAGGACACUGUAAAAGGUGGCCAAGGUAAAUGCAGAUGAACCGCUUCUAAUAGUCCAUUGACUUGGACAAUACUUUUAUGAUCUGAUCUCAAAUCAGGUAGGACUACCCACUGAACUUAAGC